rnacentral:pre_miRNA from 1 species
UCUUAUGGAUAAGCAAAGAAAGUGGUUUCUUGAGAUGGAAUAUAUUCCUGUUGAAGAGGCUGUGAA